rnacentral:rRNA from 1 species
UACGUAGGGUGCUAGCGUUGUUCGGAAUUACUGGGCGUAAAGGGCGCGUAGGCGGUGUGUCAAGUCAGGCGUGAAAGCCCCGGGCUCAACCUGGGAACCGCGCUUGAGACUGGCACGCUCGAGUUCGGGAGAGGAUGGUGGAAUUCCCAGUGUAGAGGUGAAAUUCGUAGAUAUUGGGAAGAACACCGAUGGCGAAGGCAGCCAUCUGGACCGACACUGACGCUGAGGCGCGAAAGCGUGGGGAGCAAACAGG